GGGUGCGUAGCUCAACGGUAGAGCAAUCGUCUUAUACACGAUUGGUUGCAGGUUCGAAUCCUGCCGCACCCA
rnacentral:tRNA from 1 species